ACAGAAAGAGCCAGGAUCCCAGACUGUGCUGAAGCUUCAUGAGACCUCUCCUCGUCUGUGCACGAAAGAGGAGCCGGACACAGAGUGUCCAACCUACUCUGGAGCCCAGGCUGUUGCUUCCCGGUCUGGCGGUGAGUCCUCCAUUGUCUGAUGUGGGUAAGUCCAAGAUCAAGGAGCCAGCAGAUUCAGAGUCCAGGGAGGGCUGUUCCUGAUUUGCAGAUGGCGCCUUCUCUUUAUGUCUUCACAAGAUUGUGAAGCCUGUAGCUUGGAAGAUAUAGGACAUAGGUGAAAGUGUUUGUACCAUUCAUUUAAAGGCAUAAAUGUCCAACGGGUCAUAAAGGUCAAAGCUAAUAGACAAAAAAAGCUUCCAGCAUGGAUGAUGAGCAAAUUAGAUGCCUCUCUGCUCAGCAUGAGGUUUUUUCAGCUGCAAAAGUAAAAUGAAUCAACCAUGGAAUUACCCCAAUGCACUAAUAGCUACCGCUGUAGUGGUAGAUCGUUAUAUAUCUGGGCAAUUAAAUUUUAAAUGCUAACUGUGAGACCAAGUCAGCAAAUUCUAAUUGAGACACGUUCUACAAAACACCUGACCACUACUCCUGAAACAGUCAAGGUCUUCAGAAAUAAAGAAGGUUUAAAAAAUUAUUACAGUCAAGAUACACGGCAACUAAAUGUGAUGUGGUAUACCGUAUGGGAUACAGAAACUGAAAAAGGACAUUAGGACCAUCUUGCGAUACAUGCACUGUCACAGGAAAAGUUUCCAGGAAAAGUCGAGCCAGGGCUUCACAGAAGAUCAAAAGAAAGAGACAAGGAGAAGAUAAGUGUAUUAGGAUUCUCUAAGGGACAGAACUACUAGAAUAUAUAUACACACACAAACACACACAGACACACACACACACACACACACACAUAUAUAUACAUAUAAAUAAAAGGGAGUUUAGUAAGGAGUAUUAACUCAUACAAUCACAAGGUCCCACAAUAGGCUGGGCCAUCUGUAAGCUGAGGAGCAAGGAAGGCUGUGUGAAUCCCAAAGCUGACAAACUUGGAGUUCAAUGUUCAAGGGCAGGAAGCAUCCAGCACAGGAGAUAGAUGUAGGCUGGGAGGCUAAGCCAGUCAAGACUUUUCACGUUUUUCUGCCUGUUUCAUAUCCUAGCUGCGAUGGCAGCUGAUUAGAUGGUGCCAACCCAGAUUGAGGGUGGGUCUGCCUUUCCCAGCACACUGACUCAAAUGUUUAUCUCCUUUGGCAACACCCUCACAGACACACCCAGGAUUAAUAUUUUGCUUCCUUCCAUCCAACCAAGUUGACACUCAGUAUUAACCAUCACACUAAGCUUAAUUGUUAUUUUAUAGAAAUGCUUGAAAACCAGAGAUAAAUGCAGCUACAAAUGAAUGAUGACUCUGUGUUUUCCUUGUGUAUAUAAAGAUCAACAAUAACACUUAUGUCAUGAAACCCACCUACUUUACAGAUCAUUAUGGAAAUAAUAUACUGCUUCAACAAUGGAGAAACAAUCAUCCAUAUUUAUGCAAGAACUAAAUUCAUGUUUGAAAGCUUGCUUUGAGCUUGAAGAUAUAAUUAUAAAACACGAUUCUGUGACGUAAACAAUGUAUAACAAAUCUUACAGAAAUUUAUGUGAUUACUAAAAAAAAUCAAUUCAUCAAUUCAAUAAACUGAGUACUGUAUUACUUUUCUAUUGCUUCUUUACCAAAUAAAUACAAGCUUUGCAGUUUAAAACAACAGAAAUUUAAUUUUUUAUAGUUCUGAGGGUCCGUAACCUAAAACUGAUCUUAUGAAAUAAAGUUAAAUCUUGGGGAUAUGGGUGUGGACAGGGCUGGUUUCUUCUGGGGCUCUGAUGGUAAAAUUUGCUUCCUUGCCUUUUCUCCUUCUAGGGAGCCUGCAUUCCCUGCCUCCUAGUGGCUUCCUCCCAUCACUCGAACCUCUGUUUCCAGCCUCAGGAUUCCUAAUGUGACUCUGAUGUUUCACCUCCUGUUUAUGAGGACCCUUCUGGUUGCUAAGAUACAUACGGUGACACUAUGGAAGUUAACUUGAAGAUUAAAACCCUGAAAAAUAGAAAGAAUCUUCUAUGGUAUAUCACAGAUAUUACAAGGGCCUGAAUUAGAGCGGUGACAUUUUCAUCCCUUGAUAAUGGACUAAAAACAAUUGAAUGAAGCUUUGGGGUGAACUUACAGGACUUUAUGGCAAACUUCAUAUGGGAGACUUACAUGAAGGGAGGAAGAAAUGCGUAUGUGUACAAAAUCAUGUGGAUAGAUGUGCAUUUGUGGGUAUCUGUGAAUACAAAUACACAAUUUUCAGAUAGAAGUAGUAUAAGAAAAGGAAAUCAAACAAAGUCAGACAUUUUAAGUGUAGCUCUUGGUGCACUUUAAAAAAAUUAUUAAAUUGAAGCUGUAGUUUAUUCUCAUCAUUGUCAUCCUAUAUUAGUGAUUUUCUUUAGCUUUUGAAAUUAAAUUCAUAAUAUUACAAUUCUGAAUUCCUAUGUAUGUAUAUGUUAAGAAUCCUUUAAUGGGACUGACUUUCAUAUGUGUGUGGCUGCAUUCUGAAAUAGUUGUCUAGGUGAUACAUAAAGCAGUGAGUGCUAUUUGUAAGAUAUAUUUAUAUUUAAAGUCUUCAUACAGUUAUUAACUAGCUCCAAUAUUACUGAAAUGAUUUCUCCAAAUAUCCUAUAUUUAAUUAUCAUGCUGGCAAAUUUAUUAUAACUUUGGGUUGAAAAAAUAUAUUAUGAUACAUAUCCACUGACUAAUGCCACCUAUCUGCUUUCCUGAAUUCAAGGUUUAUGAUUAUUUCCAUAAAUGUAUUUAUCAGUAUAAUCAAAAAUAAAAAUAACAUAAAUAAAAUUUCUGUGAGCUUUACACAUCUAAUGUGCAAUGAUUAUAAAUCUGGUCUUAGACACAUGGUAAAAAACAUUUAAGUCACAAAAGUAUAUUUCAGGUUUAAGUAUAAAUCUGAAAUUAAAUUCUCAGAUUUAAGUAUAAUUUUUAAAAACUUUGGUAAUUGUGUCCCUACUGUUAAAUUUAUUGUAUAGUUUUCACUAUAUCAUCUGACCUUUUAAUGUUUCUAGAAACUUGUGUGAGGUCUCAUACUUCAUGGCUAAUAAAGUAUUUAUUUUUCUAUUCUUGA
rnacentral:lncRNA from 1 species